AGAGAGAUUCUGUCUUGCCACCGCGUGGGAUUAAUCCUCACCCACUGCGCAAUGAUGGGCACCUCGAAGAUAUUGUGACGCACACUGUCUCCAUCGGUGUUACCUUUGAAGAGCUAUCGCAGGAAAUGGAAAUCAUACAUAACAUGUCACAAGAAGCCCCAUCAGUGCAAACCACACGAUAAGUGCAUACACAAGUAAAUUGCCAAAAGAAAGAGAGACAAAUGAAAGAAGAGAUGAAGUUCAUCAGCAAACUCAUCCCUACAUAAAUCAUGGUGAAGUGAAGGAGCGCAAAAUGUUGCCACAGUGAUAUGUUCAUGCCUCUUCGUGUUUGUUGACUCCAACUGUUCGAAUGGGAACAUCAAGACAGCCAUCAAAAUGUUGAAAUAUGCCAAUUGGAAGACAAGUUGGAAAAUAUAUCAGG